ensembl:lncRNA novel transcript
CGCCCCUCGGCCUACGGGAGGGAGGGCAAGGAGGGUUCUACGGUUCCUGGGAGGACGAGAAGAGCCAAGAGCCCCGACGGCCGGCGCCGGGGAAAAGGCCCCGAGGCGGGGUCCGCAUCCCUGGAAGGGCGGCGUCCACCCUCCUGAGAGGCACGGGGCGCCCAGGGCUCGGAGGCUCAAAGCCCGCCGGCUCCUGCAGCUUCUGGGAGCCGAAGAGUGUCAGCCGGGAGGAUCCCGCACACGGCGCUUAGUUCUGGAACUGCAUACCCAGGGGAGGAUGCGGGAGCCCGAAGCCCGGGCUGACACUGAAAGUGGAUGACAUCUUAGCGCAUUUCCUAAGGGUCCCGCUUGGUUUGGCUUUACUCUGCCUCCAGGACCACUGGCUGCCCAUGAGAGACGAAGGAUGGCAUCCAAGGGGGCCGGCGUGUCUUUCUCCCGCAAGAGCUGUAGGCUGACCUCAGAUGCUGAGAAAUCCAGGGUCACAGUUACUCGGGAGGCUGAGGCAGGAGAAUCGCUUGAACCGGAGAGGCGGACGUUGCAGUGAGCCGAGGUCAAACCAGUGCACUCCAGCCUGGGCAACAGAGCGAGACUCCAUCUGAAAAAGAAACAAAAAGAAAAA